UGUUAAAAUUUGUAUCUAUUUGUACUUUUAAAAAAUGACGUGCUUGACGGAAUAACCAAACAGUGACACGUGGUGUGCCACAAGUACAUGAUGCUAACAUACAAUACCAGUUUUUAAUAAUAGAGAUAGAUGAAACUUUAAUA
rfam:Gossypium hirsutum cultivar TM-1 chromosome 12, whole genome shotgun sequence